CCUACGGGUGACAGCAGUCGAGAAUCAUUCACAAUGGGGGAAACCCUGAUGGUGCGACGCCGCGUGGGGGCAUGAAGGUCUUCGGAUUGUAAACCCCUGUCAUGUGGGAGCAAAUUAAAAAGAUAGUACCACAAGAGGAAGAGACGGCUAACUCUGUGCCAGCAGCCGCGGUAAUACAGAGGUCUCAAGCGUUGUUCGGAAUCACUGGGCGUAAGGCGUGCGUAGGCUGUUUCGUAAGUCGUGUGUGAAAGGCGCGGGCUCAACCCGCGGACGGCACAUGAUACUGCGAGACUAGAGUAAUGGAGGGGGAACCGGAAUUCUCGGUGUAGCAGUGAAAUGCGUAGAUAUCGAGAGGAACACUCGUGGCGAAGGCGGGUUCCUGGACAUUAACUGACGCUGAGGCACGAAGGCCAGGGGAGCGAAAGGGAUUAGAUACCCUUGUAGUC
rnacentral:rRNA from 1 species